GGCUUCUGAGACACGGUCCAGACUCCUACGGGAGGCAGCAGUGGGGAAUAUUGGACAAUGGGCGCAAGCCUGAUCCAGCCAUGCCGCGUGUGUGAAGAAGGCCUUCGGGUUGUAAAGCACUUUCAGCGAGGAGGAAGGGUUGGUCGUUAAUAGCGGCUAAUUUUGACGUUACUCGCAGAGGA
rnacentral:rRNA from 1 species